AUUGGGCGUAAAGAGUUGCGUAGGUGGCAGAGUAAGUAAGAAGUGAAAGCGUUCGGCUCAACCGGAUAGACAUUUCUUAAACUGCUCAGCUAGAGAACGAGAGAGGUAGAUGGAAUUCCCAGUGUAGGAGUGAAAUCCGUAGAUAUUGGGAGGAACACCGAUGGCGUAGGCAGUCUACUGGCUCGUUUCUGACACUAAGGCACGAAAGCGUGGGGAGCAAACAGGAUUAGAUACCCUGGUAGUCCACGCCGUAAACUAUGGAUGCUAGCUGUUAGAAGUAUCGACCCUUCUAGUAGCGAAGCUAACGCGUUAAGCAUCCCGCCUGUGGAGUACGGUCGCAAGACUAAAA
rnacentral:rRNA from 1 species